rnacentral:rRNA from 1 species
AGUAACACGUGGGCAACCUGCCUUGCAGAUCGGGAUAACUCCGGGAAACCGGUGCUAAUACCGAAUAGUUUGCAACCUCUCCUGAGGUUGUACGGAAAGACGGUUUCGGCUGUCACUGCAGGAUGGGCCCGCGGCGCAUUAGCUAGUUGGUGGGGUAACGGCCCACCAAGGCGACGAUGCGUAGCCGACCUGAGAGGGUGAUCGGCCACACUGGGACUGAGACACGGCCCAGACUCCUACGGGAGGCAGCAGUAGGGAAUCUUCCGCAAUGGACGCAAGUCUGACGGAGCAACGCCGCGUGAGUGACGAAGGUUUUCGGAUCGUAAAACUCUGUUGUGAGGGAAGAACAAGUACCACCUAACUACUGGUACCUUGACGGUACCUCACCAGAAAGCCACGG